ACGUAGGGUGCGAGCGUUAAUCGGAAUUACUGGGCGUAAAGCGUGCGCAGGCGGUUAUAUAAGUCAGAUGUGAAAUCCCCGGGCUUAACCUGGGAAAUGCAUUUGAGACUGUAUGACUAGAGUGUGGGAGAGGGGGGUGGAAUUCCACGUGUAGCAGUGAAAUGCGUAGAUAUGUGGAGGAACACCGGUGGCGAAGGCAGCUUCCUGGACCAUUACUGACUCUCAUGCACGAAAGCGUGGGGAGCAAACAG
rnacentral:rRNA from 1 species